AGAGUUUGAUCCUGGCUCAGAACGAACGCUGGCGGCGUGCCUAACACAUGCAAGUCGAACGUGAUUAGAGAGCUUGCUCUCUAUGAAAGUGGCGCACGGGUGAGUAACGUGUAGAUAAUCUGCCUGGUGAUCCGGGAUAACACUUCGAAAGGGGUGCUAAUACCUGAUAAGCCCACGGAGUCUUUGGAUUCUGCGGGAAAAGGGGGGGACCUUCGGGCCUUCUGUCACCAGAUGAGUCUGCGUACCAUUAGCUAGUUGGUAGGGUAAAGGCCUACCAAGGCGACGAUGGUUAGCUGGUCUGAGAGGAUGAUCAGCCACACUGGAACUGAGACACGGUCCAGACUCCUACGGGAGGCAGCAGUGGGGAAUUUUGCGCAAUGGGGGAAACCCUGACGCAGCAACGCCGCGUGAGUGAUGAAGGCCCUUGGGUCGUAAAGCUCUGACAGAGGGAAAGAAAUGUGGGUGGCUAAUAUCCAUACCACUUGACGGUACCCUCAAAGGAAGCACCGGCUAACUCCGUGCCAGCAGCCGCGGUAAUACGGGGGGUGCAAGCGUUGUUCGGAUUUAUUGGGCGUAAAGCGCGUGUAGGCGGUUUUAUAAGUCUGAUGUAAAAGCCCUGGGCUCAACCUGGGAAGUGCAUUGGAUACUGUAGGACUUGAAUACGGGAGAGGGCAGUGGAAUUUCUUGGUGUAGGAGUGAAAUCCGUAGAUAUCACGAGGAACACUCGGUGGCGAAGGCGGCUGCCUGGAUCUGAUAUUGACGCUGAGACGCGAAAGCGUGGGUAGCAAACAGGAUUAGAUACCCUGAUAGUCCACGCCGUAAACGAUGAGAACUAGGUGUUGCGGGUAUUGACCUCUGCAGUGCCGCAGCUAACGCAUUAAGUUCUCCGCCUGGGAAGUACGGUCGCAAGACUAAACUCAAAUGAGUUG
rnacentral:rRNA from 1 species